rnacentral:rRNA from 1 species
AGAGUUUGAUCAUGGCUCAGAAUGAACGCUGGCGGCGUGCUUAACACAUGCAAGUCGAACGAUGAAGCCUAGCUUGCUAGGUGGAUUAGUGGCGCACGGGUGAGUAAUAUAUAGAUAAUGUACCUCUUAGUCUGGGAUAGCCAUUGGAAACGAUGAUUAAUACUAGAUAUUCCUUUUAACUACAAAGUUAAUUGGGAAAGUUUUUCACUAAGAGAUCAGUCUAUAUCCCAUCAGCUUGUUGGUAGUGUAAGAGACUACCAAGGCAAUGACGGGUAGCGGGUUUGAGAGGAUGAUCCGCCACACUGGUACUGAGACACGGACCAGACUCCUACGGGAGGCAGCAGUGAGGAAUAUUGCACAAUGGAGGAAACUCUGAUGCAGCAACGCCGCGUGGAGGAUGACGCAUUUCGGUGUGUAAACUCCCUUUAUAUGUCAAGAAAAUGACGGUAGCAUAUGAAUAAGCACCGGCUAACUCCGUGCCAGCAGCCGCGGUAAUACGGAGGGUGCAAGCGUUAUUCGGAAUCACUGGGCGUAAAGGACGCGUAGGCGGGUUGUCAAGUCUGAUGUGAAAUCCUAUGGGUCAA